GCAAGAAAGUAAAUGGGAGGGUGAGAAUCCUCGACAGGGUUCGAGCCGAGCGAAGCGAGCCAAUAUCGGAGCUUGCGACGAUUACCCCGAAGGGGUGGAGAGCGCAGCGAUGAAUAAUCCCUCCCUCACCGUCA
rnacentral:sRNA from 1 species